rnacentral:rRNA from 1 species
UAGUCCGCGCGGUAAACGAUGGAUGCCCGCUGUUGGGCCAACUGGUUCAGCGGCCAAGCGAAAGCAUUAAGCAUCCCACCUGGGGAGUACGCCGGCAACGGUGAAACUCAAAGGAAUUGACGGGGGCCCGCACAAGCGGAGGAACAUGUGGUUUAAUUCGAUGAUACGCGAGGAACCUUACCCGGGCUUGAAUUGCAGAGGAAGGAUUUGGAGACAAUGACGCCCUUCGGGGUCUCUGUGA